AGCAGACCUGAAGAACUGUCCUUGUCCCCAUUUGAAGAAACUGAAAACUGUCCUCAUCAAGCGCAGCAUGCGCAACUCCAGCAUUCUGGAGGUGAAGACAGGGGGACGGCCUCUCAAGCUGAUGCAAGUCAGCUCACCUAGCGUGUCCAGCGGCACUGCAAGCCAAACCACCCCACCCUGAGACGGCGCAGUAGUGAGCUGCAGGACAUCAGGAAGAGAGUGAGCGGAGGUGAGCAACGAGGUCAAGACUGCAGGGAAGGAAGAUCGGGAUAAGUUGAUGCUUCCAGGUUACGUUUUCAGUCAGCCGAAGUUUAGGUAUCCAGUCUGUUCUCAUGAUUCCCAGGAACAAGCUGCGGAUCAUAAAAAGAAGAUGCGGGCUGAAGCUAACUCUCUCAUAGGAAUAGAUAAUCUUAAGUGUCAGCUUGUUCCCUUCACAUUUCCAGUCAAGCAUGGCCGGCACACUGUGAAAAUUAAGAAUGUUCCCAUGUGUUAUACACCACAUCUCUGGGAGAAGAUCCAACACAUUCUUAAUUCCAAUGAUGACGAUGAGAGAAGAGUGCACCGGCUUACUUGGCAUGAAGGGAAGAUACCUGCUGACGAGAUCUGGGUCAAGUUCUGGGUCAAGUUGGGUGGAGAUAAGCAUCCUAAUUCCCCUGUUAAUAUCUGAGGCUCCCGACAACGUUACCAACCUGAAGAUCGCACUACAGAGGUUCGAAGAUGAGGUGGACAGCCUACAGAGCAAGACAUGGAGGUACUAAGCAGAAUAUUAAAAACUGAAUGUUUUAUAAUUGUAACAAUCCAAGUAUUCCUUAGCGGGGAUUGUGAGUUCCUGUGUAACAUAUAUGGGCUGUCAGGUGCUUCAGGUUGGCACUGUUGCUUGUGGUGCUUGACACUUGUGGUGCUUGACAACAUCAGAACAGCUAAGGAACCUGCCCACUACUGUUCAAAGCAGAAGCACUGCCAGUAUGGUCACAGACCACCAGAGGGAUCCUAAAGAACGUCAAAAGCUUCAACAAUUGUGUUUGGGAACCUUUUUUCAAAUGCAUCCCUUUGAAUCAAGUUUGCCUGCCCUGCACAUCAGUUUAGGGAUAUUUUACCGGCUCUUCCAAUUGAUGGAGUCAUGUGCUUGACAAUGCAGUCUCAUGGUUUGAAGAUAGUCGCGAGAGGGGUGGCCCUUCAUACUCAAACUUCAUGAGUACCUCUGUGAGUGACUCUGUGAGAGAGAGAGCCCUCAAGGAUGAGCUAGACAGGGUAAACGAAGAAGUGGCUCAACUCAAUGACCUGGUGGCCUUGCUCUGUGUGUUUGGUGAAGGUGAGGAGGUGAGGAGGAAGACGAUCCUCGACUCACAGCACUCCGCUCAGAAUUUGAGGAGAAAGCUUCGCACGCGUAAACUAAGACGAUGAGUUAUGUACAUAAUUAUGGAUUAGGAUGCUGAGUGGACUAUCAUUAACAAGAAAACAGCAAAAGGGUACAAGAGAGAGGACGGACCUUUUGUUAAGGCUCUAGAUGCAGACUUCAAUGUUCGGAGACAAACGUACUAUGGUGGCACGUUUGUGGGAAAUCACGUAAACCGGACCCUCCAGGUGAGGAACAUUGAGAAGCAGUUAUGAGCCGUCCAUAGUUACGAGUGCUGAGAAGAUCCAGCGGAAGUUUUGUGUCACCCUAAGCAAGUGUCACAAUAUAUAUAAUCAAAUAUGAUCACACAGGAGGAAAUUGCUUCCCUAGGUACUCACAUCUCCACCUUUAUGACAUUUUAUCGGGAGCAAUUUCCUCAAGCAACCGUCAUACCAAAGAUGCACAUGCUAGAGAAGCAUGUGGUUGAUUGGCUGGACCAGUGGCAGGUGGGAAUAGGACUCAUGGGAG